rnacentral:rRNA from 1 species
CUACUAGGGUUUCUAAUCCUGUUCGCUCCCCUAGCUUUCGCGCCUCAGCGUCAGUCGUGGCCCAGAAGGCCGCCUUCGCCACCGGUGUUCUUCCCAAUAUCUGCGCAUUCCACCGCUACACUGGGAAUUCCGCCUUCCCCUACCAGACUCAAGCCCGCCGGUAUCGGGAGCGGACGGGGGUUGAGCCCCCGGAUUUAACUCCCGACCUAACAGGCCGCCUACGCGCGCUUUACGCCCAAUGAAUCCGGAUAACGCUCGCCCCCUACGUAUUACCGCGGCUGCUGGCAC